UCUUAAAGAGAAAUAAGAUACUCGUUCUUGCUAGAAAAACAGAAGCAAGCACUCUCAGAGUGGUAACGGAAGUUAGCUGAUAACUUAGGCUCCGUUUGGUUAGGGAUAAUGGAAUGCAAUCAAGAGAGGCCAUCGUUCGACCACAACAACUCGUGCAACAGGAAUCUUCCUCUCUUCUUCGGUGACUAGUUUCUUUCUUAUUACUAGGCACAAAAAAACCUCGAAAACAACACCUCCAGUGCACUACAUAUUCCCCAGGACUGGCUAGUGAUGGGUUGCAUUCUCAGCUGUAGUAGUGGACAAAAUGUGCCAUCCAAUGGAAAGUCCAAGAAAUCCUCAAUGCCUUCUGGCCAGGAUUGUUUUUGCUCCCAUAACUGAUUCUACUUCAAAUCAUGGCCUAAUCCCAACAAUUCUCUAUGAGUGAGCAAUUUUGACAGAGAAUAAAAAGCUUCAGCGUUCAAAUUUUGAAAAAUCUUCAGAAGACAAGCAUGAUGUUGGUGCAAAUGGCAGUUUGGUAGCCCUUGUUGCAGAAAGGUGCACACAAGACGCAACUUGGCAUGCUCCCCGUCACCUGGCAAGUCUAGAAGUAGAAGAAGGUAUUUUUGUGAGAGUUUCAUUAUAUUUUACUUUUUCUGUAAAGUAAUUUUAAAAACAAAAUUUGAUAAUGAUAAGAAGGUUGCGACUUAAGCUCCUUAUAAGGAGGU